GAAUCUUACGUAUGCUAAUAAGCUUUUGACUGCAAUUUCGUGGUACGGUAUUUCCUGCUGGCAUCUUGGUGGUCCCACGGAGCUCCCCACCCUCCAGUGAAGGUGGCUGUCCACAACUACCACCGUUGAAACCAAAAUGGCCCCAAAGGGCCCUCAGCUCCUCAGGUCACUCCUCUGGCCUCUCCGGAUGGUGCCUCACCUUGUUGACCUGGGACAGUGGGGUCCUCACGGCUCCCGCAGGCAGCCGGCCCCGGCUGCUGUCUUCAAACAGCCUCCCAGGACAGGAAGAGAAAGAGGACAACAAAAGAAAAUCAAGCUUCCUGGUCUCAGUGCAGGUUUUUACUGCCAGAACCUGUGCUAAGCUCUUUAUGUGCUUUGACUCAUUACAUUGUCAUGACAGCUCCACAAGCUAAGAGCAGGCAUGACCCUCACAGCAGAGGCGAUGUGGAGACAGGGAGGCUGAGUGCCUGGCCUGAGCUAGGGAGAUGCAGAACUGGGAUUCCGACACAGGUCAGUUUGACAUCCUAAUCCCCACCCAGUAUCCUACUGACCUAAGUAUUUUGCAGAAUCUAUAAGGCACAGAAGGAAGUCUUCACUUAGGGGAGGAGGCUGCUCAAAGGCCCUUGAUGCAAGGGAGCAAUUUUGAGAAAGCCUGUACACAUCUGCCAAUUCUGUCUCACUCGUCGGCCUGGUGUUUGGUCACCUCUCCUUCCAGGUGGCUUUCCAAGCAUCUUUGUGGCACCCAAUACUGAUGUGAGAGGGAUCAGGCCUGACAGAAUUAGAAAACUGAGCAGGACAAAAACAGUACAGUUGCUCAAAACACGGCCCUGGCCCUGAAGAUUGACAGUUAAUAACCAAACAAUAGAAAACACUGGGGCCUUUUUGUAUGGCCAAUCCAACCCUCCCCCAAGCCCGGCCUGGAUAUUUCGAAUGAAGAUUUCAGCAGGUACGGCCCUAACCACCUCUCUGAAGAAGGGAGAUCCAGAAACAGAACUGAGAGUUAAUUCCUUCCCACCCCAACGAGCAGAAAAAGUACUCAGUCCUCCUCAUCUCAGUAUAAUUAGAGCCAGGAAAAGGGAACCGACUUAACAUGGGCACAUUUUAUGGAGAAUAUUACUUGGAGAACAUGUUUUGAUUGAUUGGAACUUUAUCUCAGAAAAUAAAAGUAGAAACCGGGCAAGUAAAUUUAUCCUCGUUAUUUUUAAAAUCUAAAUUACAAUUGGAAUUACAGGCUGAUUCUAAGAAUGAGCCAAGUAUGAAUCACAUACUGAUUUAUCUUGCUCUAAUUUUUGCAGCGAAAUUGUAUGCUAAUAUGCUCGAUGACAUACUUUCCAUCAAUGUUGGACUUUUGCAGUAAAAUCAGUCAUUUCUUCAGAAAUGUUUGAGAGAGUCACUGGUUUUCCCAGAGGCCCAUCUUAAUCCUUGAUAUUUAAAUCCUUCUCUUUGGAAGGGGCCAAGUUAGUUGAUUUUUUCUUCAAUUAUUGGUCCAACUACCAGAAUCUCUUUGUCAAUGCUCAUAAUUGAAAACAAAUGAGAAGCAAAGGCACCUACUGGGGGAGGAGAGACUCUAGAGCAAGUUGAAGGCCAAAUCUGGACAGAUGCCCUGGUUUUAUAAAUAAAGUUUUAUUGGAACACAGCCAUGCCCAUCUGGUUUUGCACUGGUUGUUCGGCUUUCAUAUUACAACAAUAGUUGAAUGGUUGAGACAACCAUAUAGCCCACAAUGCCAAAAAUAUUUACUAUCUGGACCUUAACAGAAGUUUGCUGAUUCCUGCUCUACAGUGAAACAGAGAGGUGAGUAGAGAUAAUUAGGUAAGUGAUCAGUUCAUUGUGAAGUUUUUCAAGUCAUUGUCUGGCUUCCCUGUGCAAUUCUGUCAAGAUUCCAGAUAACAUGCCCAGAAAGCCAGAACCCUCCUGUGCUAGGUGGGUACAGCAGAAAAAUCUGAGAUAACUCAGAUUUCAGCAUCUUGAAAUGAAGGUUUAUAUUCAUCUCUAGUCAUGUGGCUUUAAGAUAUGGAAGACAAAAAAAAUAAAUUCCAACUAGGAGAAUUACAUUAAGCCUGUUUGUAAUGGAGAUGAAAUUAUAAAAUGUGUCCACAGGGGCCCAUCAUAAAGCAAGUGAGAAGAUACUCAAUGCCCUGGGGAAGAAGGAUGGCUCAAGGAGGGCCAUUUGGGACGUCAGAUUAAUGGAAUGAAAGAAAAUACCCAUCAUUCUAGGCCAAGUGGGCAAUCUUCUAUCUCUGUAUCCAUUAAUGACCAAUGAUCUACCAUGCCAAUUUUAUGUUUUUUUGUUUUUGUUUUGUUUGCAAAGAGUUUCAUUUCUUGCUCUGCUAAACAGACCAGGGCAAUGAGGCCUGCAGUGAAUCAUAUUCAGCCAAGCUGGGCUUCUGCAUUCUGACCUGCCAAAGCAGUCUGCAUAAAAAGAUCAUUUUAUAAGCCAAGAGACAACCAAAGACUAACUGUUGAUUUUCCACACAUGCCUGGCAACAGCAGGAAAGCAACAGCAUUAUUUCUGCCUCUUGUUCAAAGGAACCAGAACCAUUUCCAACCACAGGAAUAAGCAACUUCUUACAGAGACACCAUAUAGUCUCAGAAGGAAGGUGCCUGCCAUCUGAUUAGUGAGGCAGUGGAGAAAAAAAAAAAUCUAAUUAUGGUACUUUGAUUUGUUCUUGGCAUGACUUGGAAACUACUUAAAGAAAAUCUGGACGUUUCAGGAUAGAACUGUAGCCCUUUGAACAGUUCCUUCUGAGGCAGGGUCAAGCCAAAAGAGUUAGGAACCGCUGGUUAUUUGGCACUUCUGAUUUUCUAGCAAGUGCCUGGGACUAAAACCACACUGACCAAAAAUUCAGACUAUUAUAUUUCAAUAGAAGAAAAACUAUUCAUUAGGACAUAGUCUCAGAAUAUUAAAUUUAUGAUUUUUUUCAAGAUCUAAGCAUUUUUUAAUAUUAGAGAUAAUUACAAUGUGGUGGAGGGACUAAGUCCCUUGAGAAUAAAAACAUGUCUUCAUCUGUGGAUCCCCAGCCCCAGACAUUGUGUCUAGCACAUGGUAGGGGAUCCAUGUAAUUCUUUAUAGAGUAGACAUACCAUUCCAGAAAAAUUUAAAUCCUAGGUCAGUUAAAUAUUCCCCUUGGGUUAAAUCUCAGAAUUUAUUUGCAGACCAAGAUCUUAAAGUUAUAUACAUCAAAGCGCCACAUCGACCUGGAUCUGGCUCACAGCCCUCUGUGUCAAGACUAGGUCAGUCCCACUUCCAUGCACUGCUGAUGGCAUUGCAGACGGAUCUGGCCUUCAGGGAGGAAUUUUCAGCAAGAUCUAUCAAAAUUACAAACAGACGUCUGAUGUCACCCGUCAAUUUUGUUUCUAGGAAUUUAUCCUACAGAUAGAUUCCUAAGCAUGCAAAAUGACAGAAGCACAAAAUCAUUUAAUUUACUGUAGCAACAGUCUGUAAAUAACCCUAAAAUCCAUUGAUAAAAAAGCAGUUAAAUAAAUCAAGGUCACAUGAAGGAAUGCUAAGUAGGCAUAAAAACAACAAUGAAGAAUACUUCUGAUGCCAACGUGGAGCAGUCUCCAAGGAACAUUAGGUACAAGAAUGUGUGCUGCGCUACCACCUGUAUCAAAAAGAGGAAAAGCACUUCCAGAAUGGUACAGCAAGGAUCGCCGAACACCCGUUCCUCCAUAAAAGCAACAAGAACACUGGCAACAGCCGUCAAAAUAAACUUUUCAGAACUCUGGAAAUUAACCAGAAUUGUAAGAACUCUAACAGCAAGGGCAUUUAUGCAAGAAAAAUAACUGAUAAUCCCAGUAAGAACAAGUUUUGUGACAUGUUAAUGUGACCUAUUUCUACCCCCUUUCUCCCCAGAGCUGCAGUUUUGAAACUAAGAGCCCUGUAAGAGUAGCCUCUGGAGAGAGAUCAGGAUCGAAACUCUCCAAAAAGCCCCAUCCCCAGAAAACAGUCUGACCUGCAUGGCUACUCCCCAGAAAAGACCAUUCGAGGGGCUUUUUCCUUGACCCAAGUCAGGGCUUGCUCAUGAGAAAAGCCCUAUUCCCAGAUGUUUAUCAAGAACAAUCAACAGCAAGUGUUUAAUCUGCCAAAUACCUGAAGGAGUGCUACCAGUUGGGGAAGAGGCUGGCCAAAACACUCAAAAGGAAAUCUGGGAAUAAGAUGUCUGCAAGGCAUUUUGAAAUGGUCCCUUAUAUUCAUAGGGAUUUAGAAGGCCAUGCACACAGGAAAAACCUGAGAAGGCUUCAGUUCUCAAUUCUGGCUGACUUUGAGCAUUGAAGGUAUGCCCAACACACACGUACACACACACACACACACACACACACACACACACACACACAAACCCUAAGCAAAAGGUGAGAGACUUACUGAUUCAAUGCAUUGAACAAAAUCUCUGCCCUGUCAUUAGCUGAUAACUAACCUAACCAAGCAGAAACUUGAAUGGCCAGCCCCACAUAACAAAGAAUACAGACUUUACAGAUUUAAUCCAGGAGAGUCACUCAAUAAACAGGAACAACAGGGGUCCUUGGGUGGCUCAGUCGGAUGAGCAGCCAACUCCUGAUUUUGUCUCAGGUCAUGAAUUCUUGGUUCAUGAAUUCAAGUCCGGCAUUAGGCUUUGCACUGUCUGUGCAGAGCCUGCUU